UUUUGAUCACAUCCUAAAAAACUCCUACUGAGAUCAUCAGGAUGGUUAAAAUGAUGGCUGACUCCUGUCUUCAACAAGACAAUUUCUACGCACAAACACAUCAUUUUUUUAAGCUUAUAAUAACUAGUGUUACUAAUAUUCCUCCCUCUAGAAUAACACAGCAAAGGCGGAUUAUUUCUUUAGCAUUAGAUGUUUCUGUUGCUUAUCAGUAAACUCAAGACUCUAUUUAUG
rnacentral:misc_RNA from 1 species